UAGCAGUGUCAGCCGUUUCAGAGUCGGCCCAGAGCUAGUCAGAGGUUUGCAGGGUCAGAGAUAGUCAGAAGAUCAGCAGGUUAUGUCUAUGGUCAGAUUCAUGUAAUAGAUUAGUAGUGGACAUGAUGUAAGGUAAAGAUAUGUAAUGAAAGGUAAAAUGUUAUGAUGUAAAUCAAUGUAAUGUAAUAGAUAGAGUUGUGCUUUGUCCUAGAAGUGUGGUUAAUCCCUUGUAUAUGGUCCUUAUGUAUGUCUUUAAUGAGACAGGAAAACCAAGCUUAUUUUAUGUUGCCCCAUUAGAGUUGAUGAUGAGAACUCUAGUGUUGGGGUUUAUGAUUAUGAGUUUGUGCAUGCACGGGUUAAGCUUGGUGUAUGAAA